GCACUGAGGAGGAGUCCCAAAAUAGGACGAAACGGCCGUCCAGUGC
rfam:Schistosoma mattheei strain Denwood, Zambia genome assembly, scaffold: SMTD_contig0000636